rnacentral:rRNA from 1 species
UACGGGGGGGGCAAGCGUUGUUCGGAAUUACUGGGCGUAAAGGGUGCGUAGGCGGCUCUCUAAGUCAGACGUGAAAUCCCCAGGCUCAACCUGGGAACUGCGUCUGAUACUGGAUGGCUUGAAUCCGGGAGAGGGAUGCAGAAUUCCAGGUGUAGCGGUGAAAUGCGUAGAUAUCUGGAGGAAUACCGGUGGCGAAGGCGGCAUCCUGGACCAACACUGACGCUGAGGAGCGAAAGCCAGGGGAGCAAACGGG